UACGUAGGGUGCGAGCGUUAAUCGGAAUUACUGGGCGUAAAGCGUGCGCAGGCGGUUCGUUGUGUCGGCGGUGAAAGCCCCGGGCUCAACCUGGGAAUGGCCGUUGAAACUGGCGAACUGGAGUGUGGCAGAGGGGGGUGGAAUUCCGCGUGUAGCAGUGAAAUGCGUAGAGGUGCGGAGGAACACCGAUGGCGAAGGCAGCCCCCUGGGGCUGACACUGACGCUCAGGCGACGAAAGCGUGGGGAGCAAACAGGG
rnacentral:rRNA from 1 species